rnacentral:rRNA from 1 species
AUUGAACGCUGGCGGCAUGCUUUACACAUGCAAGUCGAACGGUAACAGGGUGCUUGCACCGCUGACGAGUGGCGAACGGGUGAGUAAUGCGUCGGAACGCACCGAGUAAUGGGGGAUAACGCAGCGAAAGCUGUGCUAAUACCGCAUACGCUCUGAGGAGGAAAGCAGGGGACCUUCGGGCCUCGCGUUAUUCGAGCGGCCGACGUCUGAUUAGCUAGUAGGUGAGGGAAGAGCUCACCUAGGCGACGAUCAGUAGCGGGUCUGAGAGGAUGAUCCGCCACACUGGGACUGAGACACGGCCCAGACUCCUACGGGAGGCAGCAGUGGGGAAUUUUGGACAAUGGGCGCAAGCCUGAUCCAGCCAUGCCGCGUGUCUGAAGAAGGCCUUCGGGUUGUAAGGGACUUUUGUCAGGGAGGAAAUCCUUAGCGCUAAUACCGUUGAGGGAUGACAGUACCUGAAGAAUAAGCACCGGCUAACUACGUGCCAGCAGCCGCAGUAACAC